UACGUAGGGUGCGAGCGUUGUCCGGAAUUAUUGGGCGUAAAGAGCUCGUAGGCGGUUUGUUGCGUCGGCCGUGAAAACUCAGGGCUUAACUCUGAGCCUGCGGUCGAUACGGGCAGACUUGAGUUCGGUAGGGGAGACUGGAAUUCCUGGUGUAGCGGUGAAAUGCGCAGAUAUCGGGAGGAACACCAGUGGCGAAGGCGGCGAUCUGGGAAGAUACUGACGCUGAGGUGCGAAAGCGUGGGGAGCAAACAGG
rnacentral:rRNA from 1 species